AUGGUUGUUGAACUGAAGAACAAACCAAGGGAAGGUGGAGAGAAUAGGAUACCCCGUCUCAGUCAACAGAGCGAAAGAAUGGUGCAAAGUGUCAACAUGAUCUACUGCCAAGAAAAAAAAUUUAUAACUCUCACUCUCAUUCUUCUCGGCAAACAAGAGAAGCACAAACACAAUGUAGCACAAUUUAUGUGUUUGAUGUUACUUUUUCCCAUUUGA
rnacentral:rRNA from 1 species